UCUAGAACUCGAGAUAUGGCUGAACACUGAAUAGUGUUUGGGCUGCAGGAUAGAUUCAGACUUCUUCGUUGUUGCUACAAUUUGGACUGAAAACGGCCUUG
rnacentral:pre_miRNA from 1 species